AACGUAGGUGGCGAGCGUUAUCCGGAUUUACUGGGCGUAAAGCGUGUGCAGGCGGGGGUAUAAGUGGUGUAUGAAAUCGCCCAGCUUAACUGGGCAAGGUUAUGCCAGACUGUAUUUCUAGAGUGCGAGAGAGGGGCGUGGAAUUCCGGGUGUAGUGGUGAAAUGCGCAGAUAUCGGGAAGAACACCCGUGGCGAAGGCGGCUCUCUGGGACGGUACUGACGCUGAGACGCGAAAGCGUGGGGAGCGAACAGG
rnacentral:rRNA from 1 species